rnacentral:rRNA from 1 species
UACGUAGGGGGCAAGCGUUGUCCGGAUUUAUUGGGCGUAAAGAGCGUGUAGGCGGCCUGACAGGUCUGCUGUGAAAACUCGAGGCUCAACCUCGAGAUGUCGGCGGAAACCGUCUGGCUAGAGUCCGGAAGAGGAGAGUGGAAUUCCUGGUGUAGCGGUGAAAUGCGCAGAUAUCAGGAAGAACACCUAUGGCGAAGGCAGCGUCUCUGGGACGGUACUGACGCUGAGACGCGAAAGCGUGGGGAGCGAACAGG